rnacentral:rRNA from 1 species
CCGGUCUGAACUCAGAUCAUGUAAGAAUUUAAAGGUCGAACAGACCUACAAAUCAAGCAACUGCGCCUAAUAAUAAUCUUAAUCCAACAUCGAGGUCGCAAGCCCUUCUGUAAAUUAGAACUCCAAAGAAGGAUUACGCUGUUAUCCCUAAGGUAACUUAAUCUAAUAAUCACUAUUAAUGGAUCAAUUUUAAACAUAAAUCAAUGAGCCAAAAUAAAUAAAAGUUAAUUAAAUUCAGAUGUCACCCCAACAAAAUAAUUAAUGAUAGUAAAAAUAAACAUAAACAAAAACAAUUUAAAACAAUAAAUAUAAAGCUCUAUAGGGUCUUCUCGUCUACCAACAAAAUCUCAGCCUUUUAACCAAGAAGUCAAGUUCAAAAAAUCAAUUAUGAGACAGUCAACACCUCGUCAAACCCUUCAUUCCAGUCCUCUAUUAAAGAACUAAUGAUUAUGCUACCUUUGCACGGUCAAAAUACCGCGGCCGUUAAAAUUCACUCACCGGGCAGGUCAGACUUCCUAAACAAUAACAAGAAGAC